GAUGAACGCUGGCGGCGUGCCUAAUACAUGCAAGUCGAGCGAACGGACGAGAAGCUUGCUUUUCUGAUGUUAGCGGCGGACGGGUGAGUAACACGUGGAUAACCUACCUAUAAGACUGGGAUAACUUCGGGAAACCGGAGCUAAUACCGGAUAAUAUUUUGAACCGCAUGGUUCAAAAGUGAAAGACGGUCUUGCUGUCACUUAUAGAUGGAUCCGCGCUGCAUUAGCUAGUUGGUAAGGUAACGGCUUACCACGGCAACGAUGCAUAGCCGACCUGAGAGGGUGAUCGGCCACACUGGAACUGAGACACGGUCCAGACUCCUACGGGAGGCAGCAGUAGGGAAUCUUCCGCAAUGGGCGAAAGCCUGACGGAGCAACGCCGCGUGAGUGAUGAAGGUCUUCGGAUCGUAAAACUCUGUUAUUAGGGAAGAACAUAUGUGUAAGUAACUGUGCACAUCUUGACGGUACCUAAUCAGAAAGCCACGGCUAACUACGUG
rnacentral:rRNA from 1 species